CACUACAUUCCAGUAAUGAAGAGGAAGACCCUUUCCGCGGAAUGGAACCCUAUCUUGUCCGGAGACUUUCAUGUCGCAAUAUUCAGCUUCCCCCUCUCGCCUUCAGACAGUUGGAACAAGCUGACUUGAAAAGUGAAUCAGAGAACAUUCAACGACCAACCAGCCUCCCCCUGAAGAUUCUGCCGCUGAUUGCUAUCACUUCUGCAGAAUCCAGCGGGAGAAGACAUUUUAGUGAAACUGUUUUACAAGGAAGAGCUGAAAAUGUUUUGGUGAAUGCUAAUAAACAUUUGCAAAAGGGCA
rnacentral:sRNA from 1 species